rnacentral:misc_RNA from 1 species
AACUUUUGACAAUGGAUCACUUGGCUCUCGCAUCGAUGAAGAACGCAGCGAAAUGCGAUAAGUAAUGUGAAUUUCAGAAUUCAGUGAAUCAGCGAAUCUUUGAACGCACCUUGCGCCCCUUGGUUAUUCCGAGGGGCAUGCCUGUUUGAGUAUCAUGAACACCUCAACUCUCAUGGUUUGCCAUGAUGAGCUUGGACUCUGGGGGUUUUGCUGGCCUGUGGUCAGCUCCCCUCAAAUGGAUCAGCCUCCCAGUGUUUGGUGGCAUCACGGGUGUGAUAAAUAUCUACGCUCGCGGUUGUCUGCCAGGUAACCUUUGGUGACAAAGGUUUGCUGGAGCUCACAAAUGUCCCCCUCAGAGAGGACAGCUUUUUGAACGUUCGAUCUCAAAUCAGGUAGGACUACCCGCUGAACUUAAGCAUAUCAAUAAGCGGAGGCU